rnacentral:rRNA from 1 species
UGCGUAGGCGGUUCGUUAAGUCUGACGUGAAAUCCCCGGGCUCAACCUGGGACGUGCGUUGGAAACUGGCGAUCUAGAGUACGGUAGAGGGUGGUGGAAUUCCCGGUGUAGCAGUGAAAUGCGUAGAGAUCGGGAGGAACACUCGUGGCGAAGGCAGCCCCCUGGACAGUGACUGACGCUCAUAUGCGAAAGCGUGGGGAUCAAACAGGAUUAGAUACCCCUGUA